rnacentral:lncRNA from 1 species
AGGUGUACCUUUGUGGCCAGUUAGAUAGACCGGGGUUCUGAGACACAAAAUCACAAGCAGCACUCUCUUCUUCCAGCUGUGCCAGCUCUCAGGGGAGUUUGUCAUAAGGGAUCUCAGUCCAUAAGAGGCCUUUGUCAUCUCAACUUCAUUGCUUCAUUAGUGCCUGAAAAGCCCCAUUCCAGUAGCUGGUGUCACAGAUUAGUACGUUUGUGACUGGAGGUGUCUCGCAUUUAUGCAGGAGACCAGGGACACCACUUUCGCUAUACCAUUCUUACCACCUGUGGCAACAAAGAUCUUUUAUUUCCUUAAGACUGUCCUCUGGAAUAAACUUUUUGGAUCUUGCGAGGACGUCAUCCUUGGCACUCUCUUGUGGGACACCCCUUGCAUCCUUGGAGUGAUUCAUGAAAAGGAUUCUGACACUUCUGAUAAACUUUCGACCACACCACUGACGUGGGUAAGAAUUUGCAGAACUCUAACAGAGAAACUGAUGGCUUCAUACAACUGCUAACAAAAGACCAAGAUCAACAAGAAUUAAUCACGUUGGACUAACUAAACUAAUGAAGGCCUAACUCUGGGAACCCAGCAACAUCACCGUUUCCUGAAAUGAGACACAACUGUCUAACUGAACUGACCUAUUCACCGGACUGAGUGACUGGUUCGAUGAGAUGGAUGAAACUAUCAAAUUAGCUUUUGGAUUGUGAAACUUCUUGGGGAAGUUUCAAAGGCAGGACUCUAGGGGGACAGAAUUUGCCACCCCAAAAUAUGUCUCUUUGGUGCAAGGAUUAUUUUAGACUGAUUAUUUUUAAGAAACAGCAGAAAUGGGAGAAGCUCUGAAAACUAAGUAGAAGUUAUCCUUUGUAAAAUUUGUAAGGAAAAUCUCCAUUUGUAAGGGUGUCUCCCUCGCUGUACCAGGAAGAGAGAAAUGACUCAAUCUCUAGAAACACUUAUCAAUGGAG